GCAUAUCAAUAAGCGGAGGAAAAGAAACUAACAAGGAUUCCCCUAGUAACUGCGAGUGAAGCGGGAAAAGCUCAAAUUUUGAAUCUGGCGGUCUUUGCAGACCGUCCGAGUUGUAAUCUAGAGAAGCGUCUUCCGCGCCGGCCCGUGUACAAGUCUCCUGGAAGGGAGCGUCUUAGAGGGUGAGAAUCCCGUCUCUGACACGGACCACCGGGGCUAUGUGAUGCGCUCUCGACGAGUCG
rnacentral:rRNA from 1 species